GAUGAAGAACGCAGCGAAAUGCGAUAAGUAGUGUGAAUUGCAGAAUUCAGUGAAUCAUCGAAUCUUUGAACGCACAUUGCGCCCCUUGGUAUCCCGAGGGGCAUGCCUGUUCGAGCGUCAUUUCACCCCUCAAGCCUGGCUUGGUGUUGGGCGACGUCCUCUUUGGGGACGCGCCUCGAAACGCUCGGCGGCGUGGCACCGGCUUUAAGCGUAGCAGAAUCUUUCGCUUUGGAAGUCGGGGCCCCGUCUGCCGGAAGACCUGCUCGCAAGGUUGACCUCGGAUCAGGCAGGGAUACCCGCUGAACUUAAGCAUAUCAAUAAGCGGAGGA
rnacentral:misc_RNA from 1 species